UGCUGUGAGCUUGAGGCUGGCCUGGUCUA
rnacentral:piRNA from 1 species